rnacentral:rRNA from 1 species
UAUCAAUAAGCGGAGGAAAAGAAACCAACCGGGAUUGCCCUAGUAACGGCGAGUGAAGCGGCAAGAGCUCAAAUUUGAAAGCUGGCCCCCUCGGGGUCCGCAUUGUAAUUUGCAGAGGAUGCUUCGGGAGCGGUCCCCAUCUAAGUGCCCUGGAACGGGCCGUCAUAGAGGGUGAGAAUCCCGUAUGGGAUGGGGUGCCCGCGCCCGUGUGAAGCUCCUUCGACGAGUCGAGUUGUUUGGGAAUGCAGCUCUAAUUGGGUGGUAAAUUUCAUCUAAAGCUAAAUAUUGGCCGGAGACCGAUAGCGCACAAGUAGAGUGAUCGAAAGAUGAAAAGCACUUUGAAAAGAGAGUUAAACAGCACGUGAAAUUGUUGAAAGGGAAGCGCUUGCGAUCAGACUCGCUCGCGGGGUUCAGCCGGCCUUCGGGCCGGUGUACUUCCCCGCGGGCGGGCCAGCGUCGGUUUGGGCGGCCGGUCAAAGGCCCCUGGAAUGUAACGCCUCUCGGGGCGUCUUAUAGCCAGGGGUGCCAUGCGGCCUGCCCGGACCGAGGAACGCGCUUCGGCUCGGACGCUGGCAUAAUGGUCGUAAGCGACCCGUCUUGAAACACGGACCAAGGAGUCUAACAUCUACGCGAGUGUUCGGGUGUCAAACCCGUGCGCGCAGUGAAAGCGAACGGAGGUGGGAACCCCUCGGGGUGCACCAUCGACCGAUCCUGAUGUCUUCGGAUGGAUUUGAGUAAGAGCGUAGCUGUUGGGACCCGAAAGAUGGUGAACUAUGCCUGAAUAGGGCGAAGCCAGAGGAAACUCUGGUGGAGGCUCGCAGCGGUUCUGACGUGCAAAUCGAUCGUCAAAUUUGGGUAUAGGGGCGAAAGACUAAUCGAACCAUCUAGUAGCUGGUUCCUG